GAGAGAGAGGAAGAGAGAGAGGGAUGGAGAACGCGGAAAGAGGGAGAGAGAGAGAGAGAAGGAAGGAAGGAGGGACCGGCAGAAGGAAAGAGAGAGAAGGGAGGAGGGAGGGGAGCCCGAGGGCGAGGAGGCCGGUGCCGUGGCGGGGUCCGGCUGCUUCUGCCGCCGCGGGGCCUCUUGUGUCGUGUCCGGCGGGGCUCCUGUUCCGUCAGCGGCGCCGAGGAGGCAACAGCUGCCCCCGCCUCAGCCACGCGCCCAGACCCCCGGCCCCGAUCAGGCAGGGAAGGAGGGAGGGAAGGAGGCCGGCGGCGCUGAGGAGAGGGAGCCUUCUCCCCUCGGGAGCGGCCGGGGCUUCGGUGGGGCCGAGUGGGCCGAGGAGGAGGGAUGGGGAGGCCCGGCGGCGGCGGCGGCGGCGGCGGGAUCUGCGUGGCUCCUGGAGGCGGGAAAGGCCCCCGCGAGAUCGCCCUUGGGGCCGGAAGGACGGAGGAGGCAGGCAGGCAGGCAGGGAGCCCCCCCCCCCCGAUGGCAGGCCAGGGAUGCCCCCAGGACCUCUCCAGGAGGAAGCCCCCCAAAGGUCCCCCGUUUGGAGCAUGGUUUCCCAUCUUUGGAGUGUCCUCCCUUUCGGGUGCCUCGUCCUGCUUCGAGCCCUCCUUGUCCUCCCCUUCCAUGGCCCCCUUCUGUCCGGGAGCAGGCCUUGCCGAGGUGGAGGAGUCUUGGUUUGGGCUUUGCCUGGCUUGGGCCUGUCUGCCAUUUGUCCCGGACUGCCCUCCUUUUGUGGGGAGGGCAUCUGGGGUCACCCUGAAGCGGAGAGGGCUCAGCUGGGGCCUCCCGGCUUCUUUAGCCUUCCCUCGAAGCCCUUGCGACCUGGAUUCCCCUCGGAGGGCAUUCGGGGUCACAGGGGCCUCCUUGGGCCCCCCGGGAUGGGCCCUCCUUGCUUUCCAGGGGCCCUCCCUGCCUGCCUGCCUGCCUGCCUUCGGCUGCGGAUCCGGUGGAUGGCGAACCCUGUUCUUAGUCUGCAAAGGCAUCUUGUAAGAAAGGAGCCGUGGAUUUCCGGCGAAGGGUCUGGAAGCCAUGCCCUGGAUUGAGGGAGCUGGGGAUGUUUAGCCUGGAGAAGAGAAGGGUAAGAAAGAGGCGAUAUGAUGGCCCUCUUCAAAUACUUGAGGCCGAGGCCUGGAUGAGAAGAGACAGCUUUAGGACGAGAGAAAAGACAAACCAGGGCCCCCUGCUGCUCUGGCCAGUGAUCUGGUCUGCACUGCUUUGACUACUCUGGAGAGAGAGGGAAAGAGGCCUGUUAGUUGUGAGAAGUGAGUUAGGAACUAUUGCAAGGCAAACAUUCAACAGUUCCCUAGCACCCUUUUCUCCUUUUUUGCUGAGAGGCUGGUGAAUAUGGCAGCUCAUCUCAAUAGAAGACUUUUCUCUUUCUUGUGCCAGUUCCUUUUCCGUGUGGAUCUUUGAAUUGCACAGUUUGCCAAUGAAGGGCAUCUGUGGGAAAUUCCAGACUUCAGCUGGACCCUGCAAGGUGCAAAUGCACUCUGCAGGCAGAAAGGGACGCCUGGCGAGUUACCUUAUAGCUGGGCUUCAGGGAUAAGGCACUAUCCCAAUGGGAACCUCAAAGUGUAAACCAUUUGAGUAUAAAGUGCCACACCUGUCUGGAAACCAAACCUGCUGCGAUGCAAGAUUACUUGCUGAAUUUUUGUUGAUUCAGUAUAUAUGCAUAGGCAUCUUGAAAAUAUGGCAUGGCACUCAUUUUCUGAUUGGAGUAAUGCCCUUAAUGCACAACUGGGAAGUCAGAACAAUACAAAUCUGCAUGCAGGAAGAUAAAGGACUGAGUAGUGUAUAUGUUGAAUCUACAUGUGUGAACCUGUCUGUAUAUGAAACUCAUCAUUUGAGGGAGGCUUUCUUCCAGGUACCACUGUAAUUGGAAAGUCAAGUAGGUAAUUUAAAUGCUCUCCUUCAAAGACGUUCACCAUGUACCUUCUUUAAUACCUUUUAGUUGCCAGGGGAAAACUUCACUAAAUUCUUUGCAAUUUCAAAGUACAGUUGGCCGUCCAUGUCCACAGAUGUUUUAUCCAUGGAUUCAACCAUCCACAGCUUGAAAAUGUUAUAUAUAUAUAUAAACUCCAAUAAGCAAACCUUGAUUUUGCCAUUUUAUAUGAGAGAUGCCAUUUUACUAUGCCAACAUAUAUAAUGGGACUUAAGCAUCCAUAGAUUUUGGUAUUCAUGCAGGGUCCUGGAACGAAGCCCCAACGGAUACCAAAGCUCACUGUAUGAAUUGCCUUUUAGAUAUUCAUACAAUGAUGCUAUUGGUCUAAUGUGCAUGUGCAUUAUAUUUUUACUUUGUUCUGCUCAUACACAAAUAGGCUUUUUAUGUAAGCUGUCAUGGAUGUUGAUAGAAAGAUGGGAUAUAAAUCUUCCAUAAACAAAUAA